CGGCGGACGGGUGGGUAACGCGUGGGUAACCUGCCUCAUACAGGGGGAUAACAGUUGGAAACGGCUGCUAAUACCGCAUAAGCGCACAGUACCGCAUGGUACGGUGUGAAAAACUCCGGUGGUAUGAGAUGGACCCGCGUCUGAUUAGGUAGUUGGUGGGGUAACGGCCUACCAAGCCGACGAUCAGUAGCCGACCUGAGAGGGUGACCGGCCACAUUGGGACUGAGACACGGCCCAA
rnacentral:rRNA from 1 species